UACGUAGGGUGCAAGCGUUAAUCGGAAUUACUGGGCGUAAAGCGUGCGCAGGCGGUGAUGUAAGACAGAUGUGAAAUCCCCGGGCUCAACCUGGGAACUGCAUUUGUGACUGCAUCGCUGGAGUACGGCAGAGGGGGAUGGAAUUCCGCGUGUAGCAGUGAAAUGCGUAGAUAUGCGGGGGAACACCGAUGGCGAAGGCAAUCCCCUGGGCCUGUACUGACGCUCAUGCACGAAAGCGUGGGGAGCAAACAGG
rnacentral:rRNA from 1 species